rnacentral:lncRNA from 1 species
AUAGAAAUGAAGAUGGAUAUUCUCAAGAACUCGAGCUAAGGUAACAUGGGAAUAUAUUACAACAUCGAUGAGGGAUUAAGCUUGAAGAUAGAUAUCACACAAUUUAAGUAGAUUAAUUUACAUCCCAUGGGCACUAGCGGAAACAAGACUAAAAUACAACUAUUCUCCCAAAAUAUAUUUGGGUUUAAUUGCUAAGCAAAACAUAAUAAGUUUAUAGCCCAAAAGACGUGCGACGGACAUGUUCAACAAAAGAGGUACAUAUAUGAGGCCCUUUACAUAUUUUAUAGCAUUUGUAGAAUCUGGCAAAAAGAAAACUCCGCUGCACAACACACCUGCUUUCCAUUCCCUCUCAACCUGCACAUUUAGAAAUAUAUGCAGGGCUGAGUACAAAUACUCAGUGAACAUGUGCCGAAAGAUACAAUAUAUAUAAGACUUUAACAUUAUCAUGCCAUGAACUAGCAGCACACAGGGAUUUUAUUGUAAAGAACCUGUGUCUACCAAAAUAUUUUAUUACAAUAUAUCGUUAAAAUGCCUGCAGACAAUUCACAAGAGUAUGUACCAUCACAUCCACAAUAACCUCAGCCAAGUGACGGGGAGUAGGCCUCCUCCCACUGUCACCACGACCGGCCGACCCGAAGGACGGCUCCCAGUCAAACAACCUUGAGCGCCCGUCCCUUACUAGCAUAAUUGUCUAGCAUAGAGACCGAUAUCGAUUUAUACAGGGUGAUCAGCCCCUAAUAGCUCGGUACCAUACUCAAAAUCAUAAAGUAUUUUGGCAUGAUAUGUUUGCAUCGUCACUUUACUGAAAUGCUUUAUCGAAACAGAAUAUGAUUUUCACUAUUAUCAAAGUAAAUAAAUGCCCACAUGUGAUAUGCUUACUCAAUCACUAGUAUACUUCCUCUUCCUCACAAUGGUGUCGUCAAAGAUUCGUCGGACCUUCAUUAUAUAGGGUUAACAAAUGAGUCGCAAAGUUCAUAAGACCUAGUUGCAUAAACAAAACAUCUCUUACUAUCCUUAGGGUUUGCAUCCAACUUUCCAUACUAGACUAAAUUCUAACUCUCACCGAGUUCUCACAAGAACAAAAAGCUUGAGUCUAUAAACGAUGGUCUUCCAUAGCUAACAAAAUAGAAAACACCACAUAUAUAGAGGUCCAUAAUACAGAAGCGUGCUUUUCCCCAAACAAUUCAUUCAAAAAUGUCCGGGAGGCAGAAGCCCGAACUCUUCUCACAUAAAAGCAUAUGAUUCAAGAUAUUACCUAGGCAUCUCUUUAACAAAAAUUCCUAAUUAAAACAUAUAAACUUGAGAUAACUCAUAAUUACAUAUUACAAAUCAUUUUAAUGAACACCAUAUUUCAACCUUUCUGCACUGCAUCAACUUUCAAUAAUAAACUGUUUUGAUCCAGAGCUCUUCAAGAUUCUAUUUUUAUAUGCACAGAAACCUCUAUGAGUCUAGUUUACUUUAAAAAAAGUACGUUGAAAAACUCCAAGUGGUUUAAGAGAUAUGGCCAUUUUCCUACUGCCUACCAGAUUCUGGCAGUUUCUGGCAACGAAAUGUUUGAAUUUUUGAAAUAUAGGAAAUGUUUCUUAAAUGAUCUCAAAAUUUUCAAGUGGGUCCUUAACACUUUCAACUUCACACAAAAAAACAUUCGGAGGUAUUUGUCAAUAGGAAACUACUGAAAUGGAUGGCUCAAGUCUCUGUCAUACAGAACACUAGUAUGUGCCCGCUCGUGCGAUGCACGACCAUCAUCGAAAUUGAACGAUAAUUUAAAUAAAUAAAUAAAAAUAUUAAACAUAAUAUAUAUAUAUAAGUAAAUAUAAACAUAAAUGAUCUCAAUAAAAAAUAAAUUAUUCACAAUAUAAUCUCAUAAAAAUAUCAAUCUGAAAACAUUCAAAUUUUCAAUUAUUGAAAUAGCAAUUAAUUGAUUUAAUUGAUAAUGUGUAUAAAUUUAUAAAUAAAUAAAUUAUGAAAUAUCAAAAGCAAGUAUAGAUGAUAAUGAGUAUCAUUAUGGAUCAUAUAAUAUUCUAAGAUGUACAAAACUAUUUAUUUACAUAUAGUAUAACUGUAGUUUAAUAUAGUUUUCGAAUGCAUAUUUAUGAGGUCAUUUUGUUUAUGCUCAAAUUUUAAAAUAAAGUUACAAUGUAUACAUUUUUCCAAUUGGAAAGUGAAAAAUAAAGGGUUUAACAUGAGAUAUGUGUCGUUCAUUUUCCAAAAUAAAAUGUAUACAAUUUCAGUAAAUUAAAAUAAAUGUGCUACUAAAAAAUUAAACUCUUCAAUUUACUUUUAUUUUUAUUUUUAAAGAAAAUCGAUAAUGGUUCUCUAAUUACUGAUUUUCCAAUGAGUAAUUUUGAAGCUUAAAAAUUCGAUUUUGAAGAUAUACUAUAUAUUAGUUAUUUAUCUACAAAUUUAUAUUAAUAUAAAGUUGACCUUUAAAAAAAUAUUUUUAAGCUAAAGAUUUCUAAAAUGAACAAAUAUAAGUUUCAUCAUUGUAAUUGCAUUAAACUGAUAUAAUAAAAAUAUAAAUAGUAAAAUAUAAAAAAAACUAAUCUAUAGUAAAAACAUAAAAAAUAAAAUAAAAAAAAUAAUAGGAAAAAGGAAAUAGAAAGAAACCGUAGAAUUUUAAAAAAUAGAGAAAUGAGAGAGGAGAUGAUAGAGGAGAGAAGAGAGAGGAGAGAGAAAAAAAUAAUUUGGUGACUUUAAACUAUAAUAACUUAUUGGUUUUAAAUUUAUUUUUUAUAAUUUUUACAUCAAAUUAAAGAUAUCGUCAUUAUCUUUAAUUUAACAUCCAUAUUGAAUAUUUUUUUAUAAAUUAAAGUUGAUGAAUUUAAAAGAAAAUCAAAUUGAAUAAAUAUAUUUGAAUAGUGUUUUCUAAGUAAUUAAUAUAUUUUGUUGAAUUAGUGUGAAAUAAAUUAGUAAUGCAUUGCACGUAAAAAAAUGCAGUUUUUAGUGCAUGCUCCAUUUUUUUAGACGUGGGAUUUGUAAGUUGUAAUUUAAUUUAAGUUAGUUUAAUCCAUUUUUUGUGUAUAUAUAAUAUGACAUUAUUUUUUGAAGGAAUCACAAAAUCGCCAUUCAAAUCAAUUUCAAAUUGAUUUGAAAUCAAUUUCAAAUUGAAAACUGCUCUUUUAAUAUAGUAUAGAUUUUGACAGAGAUUGCCAGUAAAAGUUUUUGAUUUUAAAAGAGCAGUAAACAUUAUCCAAAAGACUCAAAAAUUUCUGUGUAAGUUCAAAACACUCCAAUAUAUACACCAUAAAAUUUUCAAGACAUUUGAACAACAAGGGCCUGUCGAAAAAGACUGUGGAAAUUCUAUUUUCCCAAAUUUAUCUAGCAGUCCAACAAAUGAAAACACAAAUAUACUCAUAUAUAUAUACAAACAAUACAUAUAACCUGAAUUUGGUGAAACAAAACAAAAUUCCUUACCUUAAUCAAGCUAGGGUUUUUUUCGAAAUUGGGGUUAGUAUGUAUCUCCUUGAUCUCUACUCCAAAAACUAUUUCAUAAUACUCCAGUAGCUAGAACAAGAAAGAUAUGAAGUUAAAAAGGCAUAUAUACACAUAGGUAUAUACGUAUAUUUUUAGAGAGAGAUUUCGUAGUUUCAUUACUAAUUAAAAACUGAUUUGGAUGUUUGAAAAUGAUAGAAGCUCAUGUAAUACCUGUUAAUCAGAGGAAAAACUAGAGAUUCAACCCAUGGCUUGAAGAUUUUUGUCCAAAAUGGAGGAUUUUUCUUUUACAAGCUUCACUCUCUCUCUACGAAAGGGUUUGGGUAAAA